AACGAACGUUAGCGGCGCGCCUAACACAUGCAAGUCGCACGAGAAAGGGCUUCGGCCCCGGUAAAGUGGCGCACGGGUGAGUAACACGUGGGCAACCUUCCCUCGAGCGGGGAAUAACAUUCCGAAAGGAGUGCUAAUACCGCAUAAGACCACGGCUUCGAAAGGAGCUGAGGUAAAAGCUGGCCUCUUCAUGAAAGCUAGCACUCGAGGAUGGGCCCGCGGCCCAUCAGCUUGUUGGUAGGGUAACGGCCUACCAAGGCUAAGACGGGUAACUGGUCUGAGAGGAUGAUCAGUCACACUGGAACUGAGACACGGUCCAGACUCCUACGGGAGGCAGCAGUGGGGAAUCUUGCGCAAUGGACGAAAGUCUGACGCAGCGACGCCGCGUGGGUGAUGAAGGCCUUCGGGUUGUAAAGCCCUGUGGGGAGAGACGAAUAAGUCUUGGCUAAUAUCCAAGAUGAUGACGGUAUCUCCUCAGCAAGCACCGGCUAACUCUGUACCAGCAGCCGCAGUAACAC
rnacentral:rRNA from 1 species